CCUACGGGUGGCUGCAGUGGGGAAUAUUGCACAAUGGGGGAAACCCUGAUGCAGCGACGCCGCGUGCGUGAAGAAGUAUCUCGGUACGUAAAGCUCUAUCAGCAGGGAAGAAAAUGACGGUACCUGACUAAGAAGCCCCGGCUAACUACGUGCAGGCAGCCGCGGUAAUACGUCGGGGGCCAGCGUUAUCCGGAUUUACUGGGUGUAAAGGGAGCGUAGACGGCAGGACAAGUCUGGAGUGAAAUCCCGGGGCUUAACCCGGGAACUGCUUUGGAAACUGUGCGGCUGGAGUGCAGGCGGGGUAAGCGGAAUUCCUAGUGUAGCGGUGAAAUGCGUAGAUAUGAGGAGGAACACCGGUGGCGAAGGCGGCUUACUGGAGUGGAACUGACGUUGAGGCUCGAAAGCGUGGGGAGCAAACAGGAUUAGAUACCCGGGUAGUC
rnacentral:rRNA from 1 species